rnacentral:lncRNA from 1 species
UCAUGAUAUUCUGUCUAGCUUCAAGCCGACCGCUCUUUCUCAAUCCUGUGAUUCGGAAUCCCUUUGUAGGUUAACUCUUAACCGUGCGUAGCAUGGCUACGCAUUUUCGGAUCCGAUCACUCGAGGGGACCAGAGAUAUCACUCUCAAUCAGAGAGGGGCAAAUUCCAUCUUGAUUGACCAUGUCUCACAACAUGCUUCUUGACAAACCUGAAAGCUACCUUUAUAACUACCCUGUUACGGCGUAGCGUUUGAUAACCCCUAAGUAGGUCGAUCCACAUCUUGAAUACAUGCGACAAUCUCAGGUCUAAGGACAAAGCAUAUAUGUUGUUUAAAGAGAGAACUACUUCUCGUGUUGGGUCAGUCCUAGCACAUGUCUCCACAUGUGCCCACAUUUUUAGUUCAACAUCUCCAUGUCCAUGACUUGUGAAACAUAGUCAUCAACUAAUACAUGUGCUAGUCUAAUAUUCAUAUGUGUCCUCACAUGAACUCCGACUAGGGAUAACUUUAGAAUAACCAUACAAGCAAAGAGUUUCACACACAAUUCACAUAAUUGCAAAUCAAUUCAAGUAGCCUUUAAUGGAUAUUCAAGGAACACAAUAUAAAUCAUGGAUACAAAUGGAAUAUCAUCAUCUCUAUGAUUGCCUCUAGGGCAUACCUCCAACAGUCUCC